GAUGAGAACGUAGCGAAAUGCGAUAAGUAAUGUGAAUUGCAGAAUUCAGUGAAUCAUCGAAUCUUUGAACGCACAUUGCGCCCCCUGGUAUUCCGGGGGGCAUGCCUGUCCGAGCGUCAUUGCUGCCCUCAAGCACGGCUUGUGUGUUGGGCCCCGUCCUCCGAUCCCGGGGGACGGGCCCGAAAGGCAGCGGCGGCACCGCGUCCGGUCCUCGAGCGUAUGGGGCUUUGUCACCCGCUCUGUAGGCCCGGCCGGCGCUUGCCGAUCAACCCAAAUUUUUAUCCAGGUUGACCUCGGAUCAGGUAGGGAUACCCGCUGAACUUAAGCAUAUCAAUAAGCGGAGGA
rnacentral:misc_RNA from 1 species